UAAGCGGAGGAAAAGAAACUAACAAGGAUUCCCUUAGUAACGGCGAGUGAACCGGGAAGAGCUCAAAUUUGAAAUCUGGCGUCCUCCGGGCGUCCGAGUUGUAAUCUAUAGAAGCGUUUUCCGCGCCGGACCGUGUAUAAGUCUCCUGGAACGGAGUAUCAAAGAGGGUGACAAUCCCGUGCUUUACACGACGACCGGUGCUAUGUGAUACGUUCUCUACGAGUCGAGUUGUUUGGGAAUGCAGCUCAAAACGGGUGGUAAACUCCAUCUAAAGCUAAAUAUUGGUGGGAGACCGAUAGCGAACAAGUACCGUGAGGGAAAGAUGAAAAGCACUUUGGAAAGAGAGUUAAACAGUAUGUGAAAUUGUUGAAAGGGAAACGAUUGAAGUCAGUCGUGUCCAUUGGGUUCAGCCGGUCCUGCCGGUCUACUCCCUUUGGACGGGUCAACAUCAGUUCUGACCGGUGGAUAAUGGCACGAGGAACGUGGCACCCUCCGGGGUGUGUUAUAGCCUCGCGUCGCAUACGCUGGUCGGGACUGAGGAACGCAGCUCGCCUUCAUGGCCGGGGUACGCCCACGUACGAGCUUAGGAUGUUGACAUAAUG
rnacentral:rRNA from 1 species